AAAUUGAAGAGUUUGAUCAUGGCUCAGAUUGAACGCUGGCGGCAGGCCUAACACAUGCAAGUCGAACGGUAACAGGAAGCAGCUUGCUGCUUUGCUGACGAGUGGCGGACGGGUGAGUAAUGUCUGGGAAACUGCCUGAUGGAGGGGGAUAACUACUGGAAACGGUAGCUAAUACCGCAUAACGUCGCAAGACCAAAGAGGGGGACCUUCGGGCCUCUUGCCAUCGGAUGUGCCCAGAUGGGAUUAGCUAGUAGGUGGGGUAACGGCUCACCUAGGCGACGAUCCCUAGCUGGUCUGAGAGGAUGACCAGCCACACUGGAACUGAGACACGGUCCAGACUCCUACGGGAGGCAGCAGUGGGGAAUAUUGCACAAUGGGCGCAAGCCUGAUGCAGCCAUGCCGCGUGUAUGAAGAAGGCCUUCGGGUUGUAAAGUACUUUCAGCGGGGAGGAAGGCGAUAAGGUUAAUAACCUUGUCGAUUGACGUUACCCGCAGAAGAAGCACCGGCUAACUCCGUGCCAGCAGCCGCGGUAAUACGGAGGGUGCAAGCGUUAAUCGGAAUUACUGGGCGUAAAGCGCACGCAGGCGGUCUGUCAAGUCGGAUGUGAAAUCCCCGGGCUCAACCUGGGAACUGCAUUCGAAACUGGCAGGCUAGAGUCUUGUAGAGGGGGGUAGAAUUCCAGGUGUAGCGGUGAAAUGCGUAGAGAUCUGGAGGAAUACCGGUGGCGAAGGCGGCCCCCUGGACAAAGACUGACGCUCAGGUGCGAAAGCGUGGGGAGCAAACAGGAUUAGAUACCCUGGUAGUCCACGCCGUAAACGAUGUCGACUUGGAGGUUGUGCCCUUGAGGCGUGGCUUCCGGAGCUAACGCGUUAAGUCGACCGCCUGGGGAGUACGGCCGCAAGGUUAAAACUCAAAUGAAUUGACGGGGGCCCGCACAAGCGGUGGAGCAUGUGGUUUAAUUCGAUGCAACGCGAAGAACCUUACCUACUCUUGACAUCCAGAGAACUUUCCAGAGAUGGAUUGGUGCCUUCGGGAACUCUGAGACAGGUGCUGCAUGGCUGUCGUCAGCUCGUGUUGUGAAAUGUUGGGUUAAGUCCCGCAACGAGCGCAACCCUUAUCCUUUGUUGCCAGCGGUUAGGCCGGGAACUCAAAGGAGACUGCCAGUGAUAAACUGGAGGAAGGUGGGGAUGACGUCAAGUCAUCAUGGCCCUUACGAGUAGGGCUACACACGUGCUACAAUGGCGCAUACAAAGAGAAGCGACCUCGCGAGAGCAAGCGGACCUCAUAAAGUGCGUCGUAGUCCGGAUUGGAGUCUGCAACUCGACUCCAUGAAGUCGGAAUCGCUAGUAAUCGUGGAUCAGAAUGCCACGGUGAAUACGUUCCCGGGCCUUGUACACACCGCCCGUCACACCAUGGGAGUGGGUUGCAAAAGAAGUAGGUAGCUUAACCUUCGGGAGGGCGCUUACCACUUUGUGAUUCAUGACUGGGGUGAAGUCGUAACAAGGUAACCGUAGGGGAACCUGCGGUUGGAUCACCUCCUUACCUUAAAGAA
rnacentral:rRNA from 6 species